AAGACAUGUUCCCAGUAGGUAGCCAGCAAGCGCCCUUGUGCAUUUAGGCUCACAGGAUGAGCAACUAAAAAUUUUAAUCAAGACGGAAAAAAACUAUUCCAUUUUUUGCCACCAUCACUAGAAAGCAGUGAAAGCAUUCCUGAAUAUCUGAGGGCACUGCUCUAUUUGUUUAGGUAUAAUUCAAAUGUAGUUUCACUAUGACACUUAUUUUUGAAAAGAGUUGGUUAUGUAUUCAUUAUUUGUAAAUAAAUACAUAAAUAUUGCCAGAGAAUAUUCAUUAUUUGUGAGACUGACACUUAAAUCCAUAUUGAAGAAUAGCAGAGGUACAAAAGUAACUUGAUUGAUUUCACUAAAGGGAUUCAAUGGUUCCCUACUGCCGUUAAAAUAAAACAAGUUUAAACUUCUCAACAUCAUACAACACCCUUUAAGAUAUAACCCCUGGCUACCCGCACACCUACUAACUAACGUUGCAGCAUCGUGAUGGAAUGGGAUAAUCCUGGAAAUCUAAAGGUCAAAUUCAUGUUUUUCUCUGAGUCCUUACAGCUGCUGCCCAAGCAAAACCUCCAAAGAGAAUUAGAAAGAGUAAGAGAGAGAGCAAGAGAGAGAGCGAGGGAAAGACAAGAUAGGAAUACAGAACUCCUCAGCGUAGAGAAGUCAAAUGAUACCUGGAGAGUUCAAAAAAAGGCACUGUUAAGCUCUGUGGAGCAGGGAGUAUGACGGCGGGUGGGGAACCAACAUUAAACAACUGAGUUUCAUAGUUCACACUUCCAAAGCAAAUAGUUCUAAAAAGUUCUAAAUAGCUCUAAAAAGGAUUCUAUCUUACUUUGAUUUUUUAACAAUAUUGUUCUUUAAUCUAUGCAGAUACAUUUUCCAAGUGACCAGAGAGUCAGUGUUGACAGAGUGAUAAGAAGUUUUUUGAUUUGAGGAUUUUUGCUACUGGUAUCAGAAGAAUUAUGGCCAAAGAAUGUAGGGGAAAACCAGCUUGCAGCCAUAGGGCUAUGCCUGGCAGUGUUCAGUACAAUUUGCUCUUCCUGCCAGUCUAAAAGUUUGAGCCUCUUCCUCACUAAAGAAGUGUCAGUUUGCUGUAACUUAUGAUUAAACUAAUACCUGCCCAACUCAGUUUAAGCUGAUUGCUAUUGGCAUGAGAAAAUCAUGUUAUUUUAGCUACAAUUAAUUUGAUUCCAGAGGAUUUUUUCUGAAAUGAUGCAGAAAGUUCAAACUAAGCAGGAGUUGAAUUAACAGGAAGAAGCUAUGUAGUAAGUUCAUUAAAAUUCAUGGUGAAUAUUAAAUAAUUACUUUGAAUGAAAAGCAUCUUAAGAAAUAUAUAUCCCCUAUGGAUGUUUCUUCUCAGAAUACUUGUUCCCAAAGAAUAAUGCAGAUAAAAUAUUAGCAAGAUUCACUUCUGUAAUAUAUAAGAAUAUAUAAAGAGACUCCAACAAUAGCUUCAUCCAGUCAGCUCCUGUGAGGCCACACAAUGGAUUUUAGGUGAGUCUACAACAAAUGCGCAUAUCUUUUAGCAAUAAUGGUAUCCCAAAGGGUAAGGCAAACUGUACAGCACGAUCAAAACAAAACUAUUUCAGCGACCACAGUCAAGUCUGCCCCAUCCUUGGGGCUCUCUCAUGGAAUUCACAAAGCCCCUGAAAUUAGUCAUUCACGUCUCUCAACACACAGCAACAUAGAUACGGAGCCAUAAAGUAAGAAGAAAAACACAGUCAGAAUCUGAAUUGAUAACUCUCCUCCUUAUAUUUUCAGUGACUUGAAUUUUUUCCAUAUAAAUCAACUGGAAAACUUUCACGGCUUCACAAGAUGCUUUCUCUCUGGUUGCUCAUAUUAGGUCUAUUAACCUCCUUGAGAAGCACAUUAUUCUCUGAAAAGCUAUAGCAAGAGCCUUGAAAUCAUCAGCCCUACUUAGCUGUGACAGUGUUGAAACCCUUUAAUAGCAACAGGUUCCACUUCCCUACUUCCCUUUCUAUAGGUAUAUGGAGAAAACUUCCAGAGAAAAGAAGGAAAAGUUUUACCUAACUCUACCCAUUGUUAAGCAUGCUCCCUUUGGACCAGCAUCCAAACAAGCCACGCUUGAUGGAGUGGACGUGCAACAGCUCACUGUCUUAAAUAUCUACUACACAGGCUAUCUUACCAACAGGCCCUUGCCUAUAUUAAAUUACUCAUGCAAAAGGCAGGGUCCAUAUCUUCUGCACCAUUCACAUUGCACUUAGGCUUCAUGGGUUAUUUCUCCCCUUGCAUAUUGUAAGAUUAAGGAGCCUGAAAAGAACCUUAUCUGAAAACUCUGUCAACCCUCAUUAGCACCAGACAUGGUUUUAUAUCUAGGGGUUGCUUCAUAAAGACCUAAAUAGAUGAAUAAAUUAAAACCUGAAGUUUAAUAUAACUUAACAGCAUCAUCAUUUUUUCCUGUGUACUCACUUUUAUAACUAUACCUACUGAUGAGAACUACCUUCAACCAACAAGCUGAAUGUUUACUAUCUUCCCAUUGCCAACACACAGUGUCAGAGCUGCUUAGAGAGAUGUAUUCAACAAUGAUACAUCAUGCUACACUGUAAUUAGUCUAGUGAACGUACAGGGAAUACUCAUGCACUCUAUUCUACUCCCUCUGUCCCAGUAACUAUAAUUAUGCAGUCUGAAAGGAAAAAAUAUGUUGGAAAUAUUUCCAAAGACCCCAAGGGUACGAUAAUUAGAGGACUAAGAAAGGAAAGUGAGCCUGAUCGUGCUUCAGUCCACUGGGACCUAGCAUAGCUGAUGUGAACUGGAGAAAUAAGAUUUUGGAAAUGAAAGCUUCUUACUCCUUAUGAUCUGACACAAUCUGACAAUGACAUUAAUUAAAAGCUGAAAAUAUCAUUCAUUUUUCUAUAGCUGAAUUUAGUAGGCAAGGCAGGAGAAAAAGGAGAGGCCUGAGGGUAAGGAGCUAGAAAUGGCAUUCCAAUUCUUCUAACAGAUUUGGGACACUCUCCCACUACUGAGGAGGUUAAAUUGCUCUAGAGCAGACCUCCUGUGUGUCCUUCACCACUUUCUCCUGUCCCUGCAAGGAAGGAGAAGGCCAGCAGGAGAGGAGUGUUUGCGCAGUGAGGAGCUGGGAGAGCCAGAAUAGCAGAUAGGGCAAGAGCUGGGGGUAGCCAGAUCCAGGACGAGGCAGGAGAUAGCUGGCCAAGACAGGGAAGGCUCUGGAAGGAAGUGAUGGAUCAUCGAAGGUCACAGCAAGGUCAAGAAUAGAACACUUAACCUUGCUCUGACCUGAAAGGAUGAGUUAUAGCUCACAGGCCAUGAGAGCCAGCCAGCUCAAUAAGAGAAUGGAAUAAAUGCUCAAACAGAAUGCUGGGAGCCUAGAGCUCUGUAGGAAGGAGGGAGAGGGGCAAAGUAAACAAAAUAACAGAUUGGCACAAUGGUAGCAUGGAAGGAACUUGAUAACUAAGACACUCUGGCCUAGACCCAGAAUAUCUAUGAUUCUAGACCCAGAAUAAUAUCUGUAGUAAUAUAUAUAAUUCUAGCAGAGUAUCUAUGAUUCCUUUUGAGGUAAGAACUAAACUGGCAAAGUGUAUGUAAGGGCUUUGCAGAUGUAACAUGAUUUUGGAAGUACUUGUCUGUAAUGAAGUGCAUGUGGGUGGGCAGAAACAACACCUUUUGGAAAGCAAAUCCUAAUACUUGCUUUUCUCUCUUUUCUUCUUCAGCCCUCCCUCAAGUAAACAUGGAGAGAGUGGAAGAGAAGAGGGCAGAAAUAGAGAGCAAAACAACAGGGAGACUUAUUUCAGUUCCAUUUCUCUCCCCAUGCUAAGCGCUAUUUUGUAUAAGCAUUUCCCAGUGACUUUAAGCAACGGAGACUUUCUGUGCCUGAAUCUUCAUUAGUCACGUUGCUGAAAACUGGACAAAAGGUUUCUUUGCUUUGUAACAUUUUCUAAGCAUCCAAGAUUCAUGAUGGUGAUGGCCACAGUGACACAGAUACGCAGAGAAUUCGCCUAACAUUUUAGCAUUUCAUGAAUAAUCAGUUUCCAAUUCCUGCAUUUUUACUCUAAUAUUAGUUGAUUUGAAUAACAUUGAGUUAUUUACCAUGUAAUUUUCCUGCUGGUUCAAAAUAAUGCAAUUUUGAAAAUGCUAUUAGCCUGUUUAAUGCAGUAAGAUCAAUGAGGAGAUGUGACCUCUUAUUUUCUCAUUAUAAAACAAAAUGCAAGGGAAAGAAUUUUCUAUCCUGGGAAAGAUCGAUUUUCUACUUUCUCAGUUUGUAAAAUAUUGGCUUUCACAGUGCAAUCAAUGUCACUGACUCAAUGUGGAUGAAGCAAAUAAUAUAAAAUAUAAAUCUGUUCAUUUUCAUUAAGCCACAGUUUCCAUUAGUCUUGCCCUUGGUGUUAUUCUUAUAAAGGCUUAAGUAUGCAAAUACCACAACAAAAGACUGAUCACUGGAUGAUAAAUAUUAGCCAAUAAAUUUUAAUAUUACCCUAAGUAAGGAAACAAAAGUGAGCAUAUAUGCAAAGAUCAGUGACAUGCUGCAACUCUUUAAAUUAUUUUUCCAGUAAAGAACUCUGAAAUUUUGUAAUAGGGGUAAGAAGGUAAUCUACAACACCAAAUAGAUUUUAUAUACUCAUAUGGAUGGAAGGAACCUGGAAAAGUUAUCUACACCUUCCUUGUUUCCAGAUAAGAUUAUGUAAGUCUUAUGUAACAGAAAGAAAAGCUAUUUUUGCUAACUGUUAAGAGUUCUGGCAAAAGCAAAUAUUGUAAGCCCCUCUUCAUCAGCCUCUAAGAUGGUCAAUGAUCUUCACAUCCCUGUGUGGGCCUCUCCCAUAGUCAAUGAAGUCGAUAUGUGUAAACAAUAGGACAUGACAGAAAUGUCUGUGAGAUUUCCAAGGCUAGGUCACAAAAGGCAUUGCUACUUCUGUCCUCAUCUCUUUUGAAUCACUUGCUCUGGGGAAAGCCAAAUGACACGUCUUGAGGAAACCCAAGCAGUCCUAUGAAGAGGCUCAUGUGGUCUUCUUCCAAGAAACCCUCCCUCACCACCAGAACCACCAAUGCACAUCAGGCCUGCCUGGCUUCAGUUCUCAUCAUACUGAUUAUUUCUUGUUUGUAGCAAUUAUUAUAUUGAGGAUUAGUCAACUAUCUCUGCCAAUCUCCACUAAACUCACACAUCAGCUCCUAUGAUUAAAAUCCAACCUGCUCAUUGAAGCUGCUUCUUCAGCUCUUGCCUGGAGUAAACAGAAGCCAGAGGGGGCCUGAAAACAGUCCCAAAGAUGCCAUCAGAGUCAGCCUCCAAGGAAGAACCCUGACCACUGACACAGUGUAUCCUAAUGAAAUGGGGAAAAAUGCAAAAAACUUUCCACCACUGCUUGGCAGAAUAACAAUAAUAAUAAUAUGAUCAAGUAUUAAAAGGUAUGAAGAUAUAAGCAUCCUUAUAUGUUUUGGGUGGUGUCCACUGAAGAAUGACGAGGUUCAUACAUUUGCAAAGGGGAGCUUUAUUUCUCACAAAGGGUUGAAGCCUUCAGGGUGCCAUUUUGACAGGCUGGAGGCUAUGCUAAAAACAGAUACUUCAAGGGAGGGGAAAAAAGGAACAGGAAUUUAUGCUAAACAAUGUGCUCAAAUAUACAUAUUCAACAAGCUAUAGGAGGAGCAUGAAUAUAUAUGAAAGGAGAAAUGUACGCACAUGCAGUUGAGCUUCAUGCCCUUUCAUGGGUCUCAUGUGACAAAAAUAGCAGCAUUAGCAUGAUCUAAGGGUGGAGUUUUCAGCCCUCUGCUGUCAAAAGGUGAAGCAGAGUACAUGUAGGGCUUUACUGUGCCCUCUCCAGACUGGCCAGAGCCACUCCAUGGUCAGUGGUCUCUUAUCAGGCAAAAAAGGAGGGGCGGCAUGAGGUUGUUAGUUGAUAUCAGUGUGGAGUCUUUUGAAAGAGUUAGUUUCUGUUGAACCCUUAGAGAAGAAAGUCUAAUAGAAGUUAAUGAAGGAGAGGGCAUAAGGAAGCAUGCCCCAUCUUCUUCUAUCCCACUGUGGCCAAGAACUCAGUUUUCAAGGUUACUCUGGGGUCCCCUUGGCCAAAGAAGGUCCAUUCAGUCAGUUGGGGAGCUUAGAAUUUUAUUUUUAUUUUACAGUGGACAGGUAGAUUGCUACAGAUAUCUGAAAGGUAGGUUGGCAGUAUCUAUUAGAUUGGUGCAAUUGUGGUUUUUGUCAUUACUUUUAAUGGAAAAAAACACAAUCACUUUUGCACCAAUCUAAUAUUAAAUGCAUGUACCUUGCACAAUCCUACUUUUGUAAAACUAUCCUACAAAUAAAAGAAUCAAUGUAUAAAGUUGUGUGUUCAAAUGUGUUUGUUGAAGGGUUGUUGACAGUGACUCUCAAAUGAAAACAAUCUGAAUGUCCAUCAUUAGGAUAAAUUGUGGCAUGUCCCUAUGGGUACACAGAGAAAUAUGUGGAAGGCUACAUCCUAGGCUGUCAACAUGGAUUAUCUCAACUGAAGUGGUAUUGGGAGAUGGUAUAAUAAAUGUGUGACUUAAUUUGUUUAUGAAAUAGACAACUUUCCACCCCUAGCUAGCCUGGUGGUGAAAAUGUCAUCUUUAGGGAUUAAUUUUUCUAUUUCUAAAAGUCUGUUGUUAAAAUACAAAUAUUCCUGAAGUUGUUUUUCAGCCCUUAAUACCCAGAGGUGGGAGAGAAAAUGCUGUGGUUGCUUUCCAGCCCCGACAGCAAGCUGACAGAACCAUCUUAACUAGGACAGGUAGGUGUCUGUGUGGGAAAGGCAGGAGGAAAGGCCUCCGGCUCAUGGCCUGACUGACAUGCAUCUCGUUGACACUAACAUGUUGUCUAGGAAGGAGAACCAAAAGAGAGGAAAAGACACUGCGUGGAGGGGCUGAUGGGGCACAUACAUUGACUGCUGCCUGAGGCCAGUGCUACUUAGGAUGCUGCUCAGGUUUCCUUCCUGGUUCUUUGGGGAUUAGCACAAGCACUGAGUUGGCCCUCUGCCAGCUGGAGGGGCCGCCAACAGGGAUUGCCAAGGGGUCAAAGAAUCAGCAUCACUGGCUGAGAGAGCAGCUUUACCAGCAGAGAUCAAAGGUGCCAGACGUGGUUUCUUUUGAUUCACUCAGGGAGCAGGACAAGUAAUCAGAAAAGUGUGAUUUUCCUCUGCUCCAAUAAAAUAAAAAAACCUGCCGUUGUUAUAAAGCACCAAGAGAAUCAAUAAGAGUUUCAGGAGACAUUGGCACACCUCACAGGCAAAGCCCUGGAAACAAACUACUGCUUUCACCACAGUGUGAACUUCAGGGCAGAGGCUCUUUGGCUUGGAUGAGUUUACAGUACAGCAAAACUGUCCUCCCCGUCACAGUGUAUGUGGAACGGUAUGUCCAUGCUGGAGUAGCUGGAAUGUAAGUAGAUUUAGUGUGCUAACAUUAGAAAGAAUGAUACUACUAGCCAGAAUUUAGUGAAUACUUAUUGUCUAAGUAUGCGUAUCAUGUGAUAUUUGCAAGAACUCAAUGAGUUAGGUACUAUUCUAUCCCAUUUUAAAAAUAAGGAAAUUGAGGCACUGAA
rnacentral:lncRNA from 1 species